rnacentral:rRNA from 1 species
GGGCCCGCACAAGCGGUGGAGCAUGUGGUUUAAUUCGAUGCAACGCGAAGAACCUUACCUGGUCUUGACAUCCUGCGAACUUUCUAGAGAUAGAUUGGUGCCUUCGGGAACGCAGUGACAGGUGCUGCACGGCUGUCGUCAGCUCGUGUUGUGAAAUGUUGGGUUAAGUCCCGCAACGAGCGCAACCCCUAUUGAUAGUUACCAUCAUUAAGUUGGGUACUCUAUUGAGACUGCCGCUGACAAGGCGGAGGAAGGUGGGGACGACGUCAAAUCAUCACGGCCCUUACAUCCUGGGCCACACACGUGCUACAAUGGUAGGGACAACAGGUUGCCAACCCGCGAGGGUGAGCCAAUCCCAAAACCCUAUCUCAGUUCGGAUCGGAGUCUGCAACUCGACUCCGUGAAGUUGGAAUCGCUAG